rnacentral:lncRNA from 10 species
UGGAAUAUAAGACUGGAAAUGAUGGUUGUGGCUAGAAAUUGAAGAGUCUGAAAAUGACUGGCUGAGGAGUUUAGAAAUGACUCAGUAGGCAAAAACCACAAUUCCUUUUGCACAACCUAUUAGGUUGUAAUCACUGAGAGUUUAGAAUUUAGGAGAAGCGUAAAGCUAAAUAUAUUGUUUUGUGAAUUGGUAAAUACAGGUGCUAUUUGAAGUUCAAGCUGUUGAUAAGAAGUGGAAACAGUCCUAGAAGAGAAGAAAGCAAGGAAAUGCACUUAUAGGAAUGCUUUUAUUUGAAGAAGAAAAAGAAAUUGGAGAAAAAGAAUAGAAAGAGGAAGAAUAACAUAAAAUCCUGUGACAAGGCUUGCAAACUUCUACUUCUAUGAGCACACAGGAAGAAGCUAUGUCAUACUCAAAACAAUUUGGAAGUUUCUACGAAAGGACACACACAGGCCUGGAUCACAUCCAUUGUCUACACCUUGAACCAAUGUCAUUGUUGAAGAAGUGGCACUUUUUCACCUCUGUGACAGAGAUGAGAUAUUAUGAAUGGAUGGCUGAUGUGUGAUUGCAGGUAACUGGUGAGUCAAAAAUAAUAUCGCAGGUUUUUCAUGCCCUAGUAACAGAAAUAACUGACUAGGGCAUAUGUCAAACAGCUGAGUUUGAAAUUUCCUCUGAAAAUUAUGCUGUGCUUAAUUUCUACGUUUUUAAAUCAAGAAUUAACAUUUUAUAUACAGCAUUGUUAAUUGCAAAUAAAAUAACAUAUAACACCACUGAGCAAUAUAAAUGCCAUAGGCUAGCUUCAUUAAUGAGCCAAUGACUCCAACCUUGAUGUCUCUUCUAAUUAUGCACAAUGCACUGUUUCUUUCAAAAGAAAACGUCUAAUUAAUUAGAUACAAAUGUCAUCUAUAGGUCAUUAACAGCUAAUGCGAUCACUGAUGAUUCAGUUUUGUCCAAGGCAACUUAAUACUCCUCUGGGAUUUCCAGAAAAUGUCACCUUUGAGUCAGAAAGUUCUUCUGCAGCUGAAGGAUUACAGAAAAGAAAAAUAAAUCUCCAAAUCCUAAACUUUUUCAUAUGGAGUAACUCUUGUCUUAACCAAGUGAUAACUACAACUUUUUUCAGACACACAUAUGUGAAGAUCUCCUGUUAGUCAUAUAAAGUAAUUAGGUGUUUGAAUUAAAGCAUGUUCUUGAACAAGAAAAUAUUUGUCUUUUCCAAUAUUUAAAAUGUCAUUCUUCUUCAGGAGAAGAAAUAUUAUCAAAUUCAUAUUUGGACCACCACAUCAUCAUGGCAAAAUAAUCCUUCACAAAUUUUGGUUAUGUUCACCCACAAAUGUAUUAAACAUAAAGUAAUUUAUCACUUGAUAACUUG